UACGUAGGGUGCAAGCGUUGUCCGGAAUUAUUGGGCGUAAAGAGCUCGUAGGCGGUUCGUCGCGUCGGCUGUGAAAACCUGAGGCUCAACCUCAGGCCUGCAGUCGAUACGGGCGGACUUGAGUACUGCAGGGGAGACUGGAAUUCCUGGUGUAGCGGUGAAAUGCGCAGAUAUCAGGAGGAACACCGGUGGCGAAGGCGGGUCUCUGGGCCGAGUAACUGACGCUGAGGAGCGAAAGCGUGGGGAGCGAACAGG
rnacentral:rRNA from 1 species